rnacentral:ncRNA from 1 species
UUAGGUGCAAUAAUUGCUUAAUAGAUAAACAGGUGUAAUUCCUGUACUGUCCCGCAGCUGUAAGGCGGAGCAGAUUUUUUUAUGUCACUGGGUAACCGGGAAGGCAAAAUCUGCAUUGAAGCUAAGCCAGAAGAACUGCCUAAAAUAA